GCCACAUCGUGUCGAAACACCGGCAUACCCGUACGAACACAGAAGUUAAGCAACGUUUAGCCUGGUCAGUACUUGGAUGGAUGGCCGCUUAAGAAUACCAGAU